rnacentral:rRNA from 1 species
GACGAACGCUGGCGGCGUGCUUAACACAUGCAAGUCGAACGGGUCUGCCCUGUUUUUUGCGGGGUGGGUCAGUGGCGAACGGGUGAGUAACACGUGAGUAACCUGCCCCUCACUUCUUGAUAACCGCUUGAAAGGGUGGCUAAUACGGGGUGUUCUGGCUGUGCCGCAUGGUGUGGCUGGUAUUGAUUCACUUUUGUGGUGUUUUGGCGGAGGUUGGGCUCGCGGCCUAUCAGCUUGUUGGGGGGGUGAUGGACUGCGAAGGCUUUGAGGGGUAGCCGGCAUGGGAGGGUGGGCGGCCACACUGGGACUGAGAGACGGACCAGCCUCCGGCGGGAGGCAGCAGUGGGGGGUAUUGCACAGUGGGAGGAAGCCUGAUGCAGCGACGUGGCGGGAGGGAUGGAGGCCUUCGGGUUGUGAACCUCUUUCGCCGGUGAAGAAGGUCCUGCUCUUUGUGGUGGGGUUGACGGUAGCCGGGUUAUGAAGCGCCGGCUAACUACGUG